UUAGCUCAGUUGGUAGAGCAUCUGCCUUACAAGCAGGGGGUCAUAGGUUCGAGUCCUAUAUCACCCACCA
rnacentral:tRNA from 1 species